UAGGGAAUCUUCGGCAAUGGACGAAAGUCUGACCGAGCAACGCCGCGUGCGUGAAGAAGGUUUUCGGAUCGUAAAACUCUGUUGUUAGAGAAGAACAAGGACGUUAGUAACUGAACGUCCCCUGACGGUAUCUAACCAGACAGCCACGGCUAACUACGUGCCAGCAGCCGCGGUAAUACGUAGGUGGCAAGCGUUGUCCGGAUUGAUUGGGCGUAAAGCGAGCGCAGGCGGUUUCUUAAGUCUGAUGUGAAAGCCCCCGGCUCAACCGGGGAGGGGCAAUGGAAACUGGGGGACUUGAGUGCAGAAGAGGAGAGUGGAAUUGCAUGUGUAGCGGUGAAAUGCGUAGAUAUAGGGAGGAACACCAGUGGCGAAGGCGGCUCUCUGGUCUGUAACUGACGCUGAGGCUCGAAAGCGUGGGGAGCAAACAGG
rnacentral:rRNA from 1 species